UAGUACAGCUUGAUUUUAUCAUUUAUGUUAAUAAAUAGUAUUUGUAUAUAUUUGUUCAUGCAUUGACUUGUUGACUGACUCUGACAGAGUAUACAGUAUGACAGUACUUUGAUUUUCUAUUCACUUGGGUAUUUACAUCCUGGGUAUUCUAUUUCUUUAUUCUGAUUGGUUACUCUGUGAACUCCUUUGAUAUUGAGGCACUCUUUUCAAAUUCUACACAAGAGAUAUAGAACACUGACACUUUAUUGUGAUUUAUAGAUAUUUAUUCUUCUUAUUCUGGAAACCAUUCUUUAUAUUCAGGUCAGUUAUAUUCUUUACAUUAGUAUUUGAUGCAUGUAUUUCUGUAUUUUUAUCUUGGUAUAAAAGAUAUGAAUGUGUUAUGAAAAUGUGUAUGAAAGUCCACUUUGAUUCCCAUGAGUAUGAAAGAGUUCAUAUUUUUACUUUAAGUUGGUAUUUGCAAGACAGAAAGAAUAUUACAGUUAUUAUAUUAUUUUUCAUAUUUGGCUGUUAUUAGAUUUCAGCAUAGAAUAUUGUCUUGCAUUGAGUUUAACUAUAUUAUUUACUAGUUUUGACAUUUAGACUUAUGAAGUCAUAUUUCUUUAUAUUCAGAUUCCAGUAUGUGAAGUAUAAGAGUAUACAGUAACUUUAUAGAGGAGCACUGCUCAGCCCUUGUAUUAUAUACACGGGUGUUUAUUUGAGAUUACUAUAAUAAACCAAUAGAACCUUA